rnacentral:tRNA from 1 species
AAGGCCUUAAGUUAAACCAAACUAAUAACCUUCAAAGCUAUAAAUAAAGGGUAUCCUUUAGGCCUUG